AGAAAAGGUUAAUUCGAACGAGAGCCACGUAAAGUUGCUGAUGGGUCUCGUAAGCAGAACGCAGCUCAAUGUAUCAUUAGGUAGUCAUUGCGAUCACCGUGGGUCCCGUAGGUACACGCACCGCCGACGGACACGUAGAGUCCUGGUUCGCAGCCGGCGUCUUCGUCGAAGAACGACUCGAAAGCGUAAUACAAUAUCACGCGGUCGAAGUUAACGAGAGUUUCGCGUGUUCCGGAAACCAGCGGGUUCCUCUGUUGCCGCUGCCAGAUACGACCACGUUUACAUCCUUGCGCUCGGACCACUCCCAAAUUUUGCACGCACCUUAAACACUUGGAGCAAUUAGCGAACUGUGCCACGAGGCCGAAGCAAAAACAACCCCUGCCUUUUUGUCAAUGUUUCGUCGAACGCCAUGUUCGGCGCACCAGUCGUGCUGCCGCAGGCUUGUAUAAAUGACGAAUAAAUUAUUUAUCAAUUUU